CCAGGUUCAGGGAGCAGGAUCCAGGCUCAGGGAGCAGGAUCCAGGUUCAGGGAGCAGGAUCCAGGCUCAGGGAGCAGGAUCCAGGUUCAGGGAGCAGGAUCCAGGCUCAGGGAGCAGGAUCCAGGUUCAGGGAGCAGGAUCCAGGCUCAGGGAGCAGGAUCCAGGUUCAGGGAGCAGGAUCCAGGCUCAGGGAGCAGGAUCCAGGUUCAGGGAGCAGGAUCCAGGCUCAGGGAGCAGGAUCCAGGUUCAGGGAGCAGGAUCCGGGUGUGGGAGCAGGAUCCAGAUGUAGGAGCAGGAUCCAGGUGUAGGAGCAGGAUCCAGGUUCAGGGAGCAGGAUCCAGGUUGAGGGAGCAGGAUCCAGCUCCUCUGGAGCAGACAGAGCUGUUGUGCUGUGCCUUUGUUGGGGAGCAGCCAGGUGUAAGUCAGUGCUGCCAUUCCCAGAGCUGGCAGCAGCUCCAAGAGGUGCCAGAUCCAGCUGCAAUUCCCUGUGUUUGGAGUCCAGUGUCAAUGUGCAGAUUUGCUGUGACAUUCCCCAUGGCCUCAGCCCCCAAACAGGCACCAGGAGCUCUCCAGAGCUCCCCUUGGUCCCUGGAAUGGCUUUUGCAGCUCUGGCACCCCAAGGCUGCAGGGAUUUGGGUGUUGAAGAGAUCAGGGAUGGAUCAGAAAAUUCCAGAAUCCCAGACUGGUUUGGGUUGGGAGGGACCUCAGAUCCCACCCAGUGCCAGCCCUGCCGUGGGGACACCUCCCACUGUCCCAGGCUGCUCCAGCCCCAGUGUCCAGCCUGGCCUUGGAUGGAGCUGCAGGAAACAUGGAGAGAAAAUAUUCCCGUGGCAGGGAGGGACAGCACACAGGGAAUGGCUGCAGAGUAGGGUUUGAUGGGAUACUGGGAAUCAGGAAUCCCAGGUGUUUAUACCCAGGUGUUUAUAUCCAGGUAUUUAUAUUCAGGUGUUUAUUUCCAGGUGUUUCUAUCCAGGUGUUUCUAUCCAGGUGUUUAUAUCUAGGUAUUUAUUUCCUGGUCUUUCUAUCCAGGUGUUUAUUCCCAUAUGUUUAUAUCCAGGUAUUUAUAUUCAGGUGUUUUCUCUCCAGGUGUUUAUUUCCAGGUGUUCCUAUCCAGGUGUUUCUAUCCCAGUGUUUCUACCCAGGUGUUUUUAUCCAGGAAUUAAUUUCCAGGUGUUUCUAUCCAGGUGUUUCUAUCCAGGUAUUUAUUUCCUGGUCUUUCUAUCCAGGUGUUUAUUCCCAUAUGUUUAUAUCCAGGUAUUUAUAUUCAGGUGUUUUCUCUCCAGGUGUUUAUUUCCAGGUGUUCCUAUCCAGGUGUUUCUAUCCCAGUGUUUCUACCCAGGUGUUUUUAUCCAGGAAUUAAUUUCCAGGUGUUUCUAUCCAGGUGUUUCUAUCCAGGUAUUUAUUUCCUGGUCUUUCUAUCCAGGUGUUUAUUCCCAUAUGUUUAUUUCCAGGUAUUUAUAGUCAGGUGUUUCUCUCCAGGUGUUUAUUUCCAGGUGUUUCUAUCCAGGUGUUUAUUUCCAGGUGUUUUUAUCCAGGUAUUUAUAUCCAGGUAUUUAUUCCCAGGUGUUUCUCUCCAGGUGUUUCUAUCCAGAUAUUUAUUUCCGGGUGUUUCU
rnacentral:lncRNA from 1 species